UUUGAUACCUCUCUGUAUUCUAUAUAUACUUUUGUGAGCAAUACGAGAAAAUUAAUUCUCCCAAAAUUCUCUACAAGAAGAGGAAGGGAGCAUAGAAAAUUAAGAAGAGUAUGCAGGGAGACAAUCAAUGAUAUUCAACCCUUUUUCAACAAUAGAGGCAGCAAGAGUAAAGAAGCAGAGUGAAUCAGAGUAGUGAGUUUAUUUUCUUAUUCGACAUACUAUUCGAUGUAAACAGUAUGCAGGGAGACAAUCAAUGAUAUUCAACCCCUUUUCAACAAUAGAGGCAGCAAGAGUAAAGAAGCAGAGUGAAUCAGAGUAGUGAGUUUAUUUUCUUAUUCGACAUACUAUUCGAUGUAAACAGUAAAUGCUUCAAUCUUUUUAGAUUAUGGGAUAACUUCGCCUUCUCAAAUUCUCACAUUAAAGUGACAAUAUGUCUGAGUCUUAUUGGUGCAAUCAUCAUUUGUCUGCUGUAAUAGAUCCGUUUGGUAUGAUAAAAUUUUAACCUUGACAACAAUGAUUAUUAUAAGAUUGAAACAUGAGAAACUGUAUAACCAUUUGAGAUAUCUGUAAUUGUUUCAACCAAGAAAUUAAGCAAUAUGAGCUUCCGGAUUUGCUUGAAAUUGCUGGCUCUACUUCAACACAUACAUCAACAAUAAUGAUGCAGCAUACAUUAGCUGCAGCGGACCGCUUUGGUUUAGAUAGGUUGAAACAGUUAAUGCGAGGCUAAAUUAUGAGAAGAAGUUAAUGUGGAUACAGUGGCUACGACUCUUUCCCUUUCGGAGCAGCAUCAGUGCCUACAGCUUAAAGCCAUACGUUUGAAAUUUGCAGCAACAAACUUGGGAGGUGCGUGUAGUCCGUAGAUGUGAGAAGUGCAGUGUUUCAGGUUAUGUCAUUUCUAGUUUUUCGAUGUCUGUUUAUCUGCAGACAUGUUUUGUCUCUGAUCAUUCAUUUUCAGUGCAUUUGUGCAUACUUCAAUAUAGUACAGUUCAAAUGAUAACCCAAGAUAGGAGUUGGUGUCCAUAGACCAGAGCAAUAGUCCCUUGAACUCCUUUUGCUGAAUGACAUAUGGAUAUGCUUAGGUUCUGAAAAUUCUCUGCUGAACAUCACCUUGAACUCCUUUUGGUGAAUGACUUUUGGAUAUGCUUAGGUUCUGAAAAUUCUCUGCUGAACAUCAUUUUCAGAAACAAUCUCUGUUGUAAUCUUGCUGAGGGACCUUGUUUUUUUGUAUAAAAAGGUGAUUUUGGCUUCCAAUAGAUUAUUUUUGGUGUUGAGUUCAG
rnacentral:lncRNA from 1 species